CGGAGCGUAGCGCAGUCUGGUAGCGCACUACACUGGGGGUGUAGGGGUCGUGGGUUCAAAUCCCGCCGCUCCGA
rnacentral:tRNA from 1 species